GUCAGAAUUUAUUGAGCAUACAGUGUUUUGAAAUAUUGAGCAAUUCCCCGAGACCACACAGCAUGUCGGGCAUGACGCAGAUGAGGGUUUGAACCUCCGUUUAUCCAGUGCUCGGUUCGUGGGGACUGCUGAGACACCUCAGUUGGUGGACUGGGCAACCGUUGGCUUCCGGGUACUCGGUGCGAGACAGUCCUUGUUGGACCAGGCCACAUCAUCUUGCAUGCUGAUGUAAUAAAUCCCCUUUUAGUACACGUCCUAUGGCUUGUGUUCCCUUAAAGAAGCCCGAGUAACACAGGUUGCCCAUGGCAAAGGGCAAUGAAGCUACAGGUGGAGUUAAGGACACUUGCUGGCCGACUCAGAGGCAGGGAUCUGUGCGGGCCGGGUGUGAGGGGGAGGCAUAGGGUCUGGAGGUGUUAUGCUGCUGGCUUUAAAAGCAGAGGAAGAAGUGAGAGCCGAUGAACGCUGGUGUCUUCCACCGCCCAGGGAGGGUGGCCACACAGGUGCAGGCCUCCGGACAGCGGGCAGCCCUGCUGCAUCUGAUAUUAGCCCAUGAGGCAGAUUCUGGGUGUUGACCUCUAGACCUGUGCGAUAGUCAUUUUAUGCUGUUUCAGGUCACUGCAUUUGUGGUAAGUGGCUCCAGCUUGCCGUGUUGGAGACUUAAGCUCCACACUCAUUAACUAGUCCACCUAUGAGCCUCAUGGUUGCUGGCAGGAGGCACGAGGCCAGAGCCAACAACCGCAGCGAGGAGUCAGCAUUUCAUCCAGGCUGAGCCAUUCUCUCAGAGCGGUGCGGAAAAGCCGUGUGACAUCUGCAGCACGGUGGAUUAUGUCACAGGAAAGGGAUCUGGAGGUAUGCUGGGGCACACCCUCACUGCCAACCAAAGAACAGUCUGUCUUCCGCCCUGGUGGGAGACGGCAUCUCUUCCAGGACCUGCUGCUGGAUGAACUCUGUCAAGCAGGGAACCCACACGCUGCUCACUAAGGCUGUCACAAAAUCAGGCCUGUUGUUGUGUAGAUGUGGAAACUUCUA
rnacentral:lncRNA from 1 species